GAGACUUUAUCUUAAUAAAAGUAUUUGAGUUGCAUUCAAAAGAUGGGGGUUGAUGUCCUUCAGGUCUUA
rnacentral:tRNA from 2 species